rnacentral:rRNA from 1 species
CCUACGGGUGGCAGCAGUGAGGAAUAUUGGUCAAUGGGCGAGAGUCUGAACCAGCCAAGUAGCGUGAAGGAUGACUGCCCUAUGGGUUGUAAACUUCUUUUAUAAAGGAAUAAAGUGAGGCACGUGUGCCUUUUUGCAUGUACUUUAUGAAUAAGGAUCGGCUAACUCCGUGCCAGCAGCCGCGGUAAUACGGAGGAUCCGAGCGUUAUCCGGAUUUAUUGGGUUUAAAGGGAGCGUAGAUGGGUUGUUAAGUCAGUUGUAAAAGUUUGCGGCUCAACCGUAAAAUUGCAAUUGAUACUGGCAGCCUUGAGUACAGUUGAGGUAGGCGGAAUUCGUGGUGUAGCGGUGAAAUGCUUAGAUAUCACGAAGAACCCCGAUUGCGAAGGCAGCUUACUAAACUGCGACUGACAUUGAUGCUCGAAAGUGUGGGUAUCAAACAGGAUUAGAUACCCGGGUAGUC